rnacentral:rRNA from 1 species
UUUUAUUUGAGAGUUUGAUCCUGGCUCAGGAUGAACGCUGGCGGCGUGCCUAACACAUGCAAGUUGAGCGAUUUACUUCGGUAAAGAGCGGCGGACGGGUGAGUAACGCGUGGGUAACCUACCCUGUACACACGGAUAACAUACCGAAAGGUAUGCUAAUACGGGAUAAUAUAUUUGAGAGGCAUCUCUUAAAUAUC